CCUACGGGGGGCUGCAGUGGGGAAUAUUGGGCAAUGGAGGCAACUCUGACCCAGCAACGCCGCGUGAAUGAUGAAGGUCUUCGGAUUGUAAAGUUCUGUGAUGGGGGAUGAACACAAUGACGGUACCCCAAUAGCACGCCACGGCUAACUACGUGCCAGCAGCCGCGGUAAUACGUAGGUGGCAAGCGUUCUCCGGAUUGACUGGGCGUAAAGGGUGCGUAGGUGGUUUAGUAAGUUGGCGGUGUAAUUCCGGGGCUCAAACACGGCGCUGCCGUCAAUACUAUUAGACUAGAGUGCAGGGGGGGUAAGUGGAAUUCCUAGUGUAGCGGUGGAAUGCGUAGAUAUUAGGAGGAACAGCAGGGGCGAAGGCGACUUACUGGACUGUAACUGACGCUGAGGCACGAAAGCGUGGGGAGCAAACAGGAUUAGAUACCCGGGUAGUC
rnacentral:rRNA from 1 species